rnacentral:rRNA from 1 species
GAUCUUGCGCAUGGNCGAAGCCUGNCGCAGCAACGCCGCGUGAGUGAAGAAGGCCUUUGGGUUGUAAAGCUCUUUCGACUGGGAAGAAGGGAUCCACCGUGAAUAACAUUGGAUUCUGACGGUACCAGGAGAAGAAGCCCCGGCUAACUUCGUGCCAGCAGCCGCGGUAAUACGAAGGGGGCGAGCGUUGUUCGGAAUCAUUGGGCGUAAAGGGCGCGUAGGCGGACUUAUAAGUCGAUUGUGAAAUCCCUGGGCUUAACCCGGGAAUUGCAGUCUGAAACUGCAAGUCUUGAGUUCUCGAGAGGAUGGUGGAAUUCCUGGAGUAGUAGUGAAAUACGUAGAUAUCAGGAGGAACACCGGAGGCGAAGGCGGCCAUCUGGCGAGACACUGACGCUAAGGCGCGAAAGCGUGGGUAGCAAACAGGAUUAGAUACCCUGGUAGUCCACGCCUUAAACGAUGAAUACUAGAUGUUCGGAGAGUUAACCCUCUGAGUAUCGAAGCUAACGCAUUAAGUAUUCCGCCUGGGAAGNACGGCCCGCAAGGUUGAAACUUAAAAGAAUUGACGGA